AGCUAGACAAGGCCACACCCUCUGCUCACCUGGUCAUUCCCUGGUCCACUUCUGAGGCAGACGUGUGCUGCUGAUGGGAGACAAGGACACAAUGAAAGGGGCUGCAAGGGGCAGAAGGCCUGGCCAGCAGAAACAAGGUGUCUCCCACAGGGAAAAUGGGAGGAUUUCCUCCAAGGAAAACCUGUCUGUAAAAGAGAAGGGAGGAGAUCGACAGCCCUCAGAAAGACAGAGAGAAAAACGAAGCAUGGAGACACAAGAGGGCUCUCAGAGCAAAGCAGAGGUCACCAGGCACAAGCGAUGCAGAAGCCGGGAUGACUUCCCUGAGAGUCACAAGAGAAACGGCCAUGGAGAAGAGAAGGUGAGGGGACAACUACCCCCAGCCCAGUGGAGAUCUAAGGAGCAUCCAAACUCCUGCAGAGCAGGACUUUACCACAGAGCAGGUUCUGCCCAUACUUCCGGGCGUCUCCACGACAGGGGGGCCCGGUUCCGAUCGCCAAUGUGGGCCCGGGACCAGAGACGCUGCCAGUGCAACCCGGAGUCCAGGCCCGCCUCGCCCAAGCGCCCUCGCAGAAGCCAGUCACCUGAAGCCGCCGCGCCCCUGGAGGCGCUCACGUCCAAGCUCUCCAACCAGAUGGGAGCCCUUGAAGUGGUCCUGGAUGAGUUGCGGGCCCCGGGGGGGCGCCUUCCUACCGGUGCCCACCGACCGCACGGAGCCCACGGCCUCGCAGCGCGCCUGGCUUACCUGGCAGCUGACGCACGCGGGCGCCGCCCUACACUGGGCUCUGACGGCGCUGGAUUCCUUGCUCGCCGUGCACCACCGACCUCCGGGACCGCAGGUCUACCCGCCCUGGGCGCCUGGGCCUUAGGGGCGCAGUUCGCCUUUCUCCACCUCUUCUCUGGUCUUGCAAGGCUCCGAGGCAGCAUCUCAGUACCCUGAGGCGAAGAACUUCCUCCACAAAACACAGAAACCCACCUGUCUUGGGGACGGUGUUCCUCAGGGACCAGACCUCAUCCCCUGCUGCUUCCCAGCUCAGGGAGAUGUGUUCCUGUGUCCAGGAGUCAGCCUGCUAGGAUGUGCAUUCAGAGGACAACGCUUGUUUAAUCCUAUGGCUCCGAUUGCAGACCUUAGUGAUGUGAUUUGUGCCUUUUGAUCCCUCCAUAUUUCCUGUUUUACUUGAAAAAUGAAAUGAGAGACAGGUGGAUGGGGGGCAUGGCGAGGAGAAAGAAAGAUUGACAGAUGAGAGAUAGAGAUAUAGAUUGAUUCGUAGGGGUGGAUUCCACUGUAAGGAACAAUUGUCUUUUUUUUUUUUUUUCUAGAGAUUGGUUUUUUUGAGGUUAUAGUUAGAAAACUAUCUUGAACAAAUCUUUAUAUUUAAUAAGAAAUCUGGAUCGUAUGAAGAACUUUGUAGAUUUUUGGUGUUGAAAUUAAAACUACAUUUUUACUUAUUAUAGAACAUUGUGUUCUACAUGGACUGCAAUAAAUUUUUAAAUAUUGCAAUCUUUUGUCA
rnacentral:lncRNA from 1 species